AAUUGUGAACUUUCCAUUUCUAAGUAGCAACAGUCCAGCAGCACCUGCAUACGGGGUAUAUAUCUCCCAAUUGAUACGAUAUUCCCGUGCUUGCAUUUCCUAUCAUGAUUUUCUUGAUAGAGGUUUGCUGCUCACAAGGAAGCUAUUAAACCAAGAGUUCCAAAUGGUGAAGUUGAAAUCAUCCCUUCGUAAAUUUUACGGACGCCAUCACGAG
rnacentral:lncRNA from 1 species